UCAUAAUCCAAUUAAAAUUUUAUUAAUUAUAGCAAGUAGAAUAUGAGCAAAAACAGCGCUGGACGACAGGGGAGUCUGCGCUCCGCCACUGCCGUGCUGAGCAGUUCAAACAGUCCCUUUUUAUACAUCUUUACUUCCGUGUUCAUGAAGUAGUGGAGGUACUCUGCGCAUGCUUCAGUUGUUGUUAGGGGGUCGUUUUCUACCUCCUGGUGGUCGUUGAGGCCGAAAUAAGAAGUCUUUCUCCUUUAUCCCAUAGUUGACCCCUCAUUCACAUGUCCUUAUCUGGGGUUGUUUGUCCUGUUUCUGUCGGUUCCUGGAAGUCUGGCGGUUAUCUCGCGAUUGUGGUUAUCUUAUCUUACUCAAGCAGUGUCCGGGUUUCUGUUUGCAUAAGCGAUUUCACAUCUUUGUUGCCUGACCUUUACAUUGAGCUUAACAUAAAUCUUAAUAAACAAUAUCCUAGUCCAUAGUUUCUCACAAUCCCCCCUUUUUCUUUUUAUCCUAUUAUUGUUUAUUAGACGUUACUUUCAUUUUCGGCACUGCGAACAAACCUUUUUCCACAAUCCCAAUAUUUAUCAUAACACUCACAAGGUAAUACCUCACAAUUACAAAAGGCAUAGUUCUCACGUGGCAUAAUGUAUUCACAGCAAUCUUCAUCUUCAUUAAUAGAUACACUCUUAUAUUUUGCCCCAGACCUCGUAGUUAAAAUAAGCAGUUUAGCUAUGUCAAACCGUUCUUUAAUAAAGUGUAUUUUAUAUCAACGUAAGAAAGAUCGUGAGGCGGGCAAGUCAUGGUACGAAAACUGGUUUAAUGUUUCACCUUGGCUAACCACUUUGUUGUCCGCCUUAGCAGGACCGCUUAUCAUGUUGAUUUUGGGACUCAUAUUUGGGCCUUGUAUAUUACGCUAUAUUUUUACACUUUAUUAAAGAACGGUUUGACAUAGCUAAACUGCUUAUUUUAACUACGAGGUCUGGGGCAAAAUAUAAGAGUGUAUCUAUUAAUGAAGAUGAAGAUUGUUGUGAAUGCAUUAUGCCACGCGAGAACUAUGCCUUUUGUAAUUGUGAGGUAUUACCUUGUGAGUGUUAUGAUAAAUGUUGGGAUUAGGUUUGUUCGCAGUGCCGAAAAUGAAAGUAACGUCUAAUAAACAAUAAUAGGAUAAAAAGAAAAAGGGGGGAUUGUGAGAAACUAUGGACUAGUAUAUUGUUUAUUAAGAUUUAUGUUAAGCUCAAUGUAAAGGUUAGGCAACAAAGAUGUGAAAUCGCUUAUGCAGACAGAAACUCGGACACUGCUUGAGUAAGAUAAGAUAACCACAAUCGCGAGAUAACCGCCAGACUUCCAGGAACCGACAGAAACAGGACAAACAACCCCAGAUAAGGACAUGUGAAUGAGGGGUCAACUAUGGGAUAAAGGAGGAAGACUUCUUACUUCGGCCUCAACGACCACCAGGAGGUAGAAAACGACCCCCUAACCACAACUGAAGCAUGCGCAGAGUACCUCCACUACUUCAUGAACACGGAAGUAAAGAUGUAUAAAAAGGGACUGUUUGAACUGCUCAGCACGGCAGUGGCGGAGCGCAGACUCCCCUGUCGUCCAGCGCUGUUUUUGCUCAUAUUCUACUUGCUAUAAUUAAUAAAAUUUUAAUUGGAUUAUGA
rnacentral:lncRNA from 1 species